GAUGAACGCUGGCGGCGUGCCUAAUACAUGCAAGUCGAGCGAACGGACGAGAAGCUUGCUUCUCUGAUGUUAGCGGCGGACGGGUGAGUAACACGUGGAUAACCUACCUAUAAGACUGGGAUAACUUCGGGAAACCGGAGCUAAUACCGGAUAAUAUUUUGAACCGCAUGGUUCAAAAGUGAAAGACGGUCUUGCUGUCACUUAUAGAUGGAUCCGCGCUGCAUUAGCUAGUUGGUAAGGUAACGGCUUACCAAGGCAACGAUGCAUAGCCGACCUGAGAGGGUGAUCGGCCACACUGGAACUGAGACACGGUCCAGACUCCUACGGGAGGCAGCAGUAGGGAAUCUUCCGCAAUGGGCGAAAGCCUGACGGAGCAACGCCGCGUGAGUGAUGAAGGUCUUCGGAUCGUAAAACUCUGUUAUUAGGGAAGAACAUAUGUGUAAGUAACUGUGCACAUCUUGACGGUACCUAAUCAGAAAGCCACGGCUAACUACGUGCCAGCAGCCGCGGUAAUACGUAGGUGGCAAGCGUUAUCCGGAAUUAUUGGGCGUAAAGCGCGCGUAGGCGGUUUUUUAAGUCUGAUGUGAAAGCCCACGGCUCAACCGUGGAGGGUCAUUGGAAACUGGAAAACUUGAGUGCAGAAGAGGAAAGUGGAAUUCCAUGUGUAGCGGUGAAAUGCGCAGAGAUAUGGAGGAACACCAGUGGCGAAGGCGACUUUCUGGUCUGUAACUGACGCUGAUGUGCGAAAGCGUGGGGAUCAAACAGGAUUAGAUACCCUGGUAGUCCACGCCGUAAACGAUGAGUGCUAAGUGUUAGGGGGUUUCCGCCCCUUAGUGCUGCAGCUAACGCAUUAAGCACUCCGCCUGGGGAGUACGACCGCAAGGUUGAAACUCAAAGGAAUUGACGGGGACCCGCACAAGCGGUGGAGCAUGUGGUUUAAUACGAAGCAACGCGAAGAACCUUACCAAAUCUUGACAUCCUUUGACAACUCUAGAGAUAGAGCCUUCCCCUUCGGGGGACAAAGUGACAGGUGGUGCAUGGUUGUCGUCAGCUCGUGUCGUGAGAUGUUGGGUUAAGUCCCGCAACGAGCGCAACCCUUAAGCUUAGUUGCCAUCAUUAAGUUGGGCACUCUAAGUUGACUGCCGGUGACAAACCGGAGGAAGGUGGGGAUGACGUCAAAUCAUCAUGCCCCUUAUGAUUUGGGCUACACACGUGCUACAAUGGACAAUACAAAGGGCAGCGAAACCGCGAGGUCAAGCAAAUCCCAUAAAGUUGUUCUCAGUUCGGAUUGUAGUCUGCAACUCGACUACAUGAAGCUGGAAUCGCUAGUAAUCGUAGAUCAGCAUGCUACGGUGAAUACGUUCCCGGGUCU
rnacentral:rRNA from 1 species